CCUACGGGUGGCAGCAGUGAGGAAUAUUGGUCAAUGGACGCAAGUCUGAACCAGCCAAGUAGCGUGCAGGAUGACGGCCCUCCGGGUUGUAAACUGCUUUUAGUUGGGAAUAAAAGGGGGCUCGUGAGACCCGUAUUGUAUGUACCAUCAGAAAAAGGACCGGCUAAUUCCGUGCAAGCAGCCGCGGUAAUACGGAGGGUCAGGGCGUUAUCCGGAGUUAUUGGGUUUAAAGGUAGCGUAGGCCGGCUUUUAAGUCAGCUGUGAAAGUCAGCGGCUCAACCGUGGAAUUGCGGUUGAAACUGGAUGCCUAGAGUGCACACAGGGAUGCCGGAAUUCAUGGUGUAGCGGGGAAAUGCUUAGAUAUCAUGAAGAACUCCGAUCGCGAAGGCAAGUGUCCGGGGUGCAACUGACGCUGAGGCUCGAAAGUGCGGGUAUCAAACAGGAUUAGAUACCCCGGUAGUC
rnacentral:rRNA from 1 species